AUUUAUAAAAUAAAAAAAAAACAUCACUGAUUGAUAACAAAUAUAUCAUUUAUCAACUGAAAUAAAUAUGGUGAUAUUGAUAUGCAUAUAAAAAUUACUGAUCAAAUUGAAAAUGAAGUAAAUAAUUUGAAAAUAAAUAGAAUUUUUUUAAAAAAAUAAACGUGAAACGCGCGUAAUAUAAGAAUCAUUUACGUGAAAAGCCAUGUUCGAAAACGCGGCCGCCUAGCCGCCUAGGCGUUGUUCGGAGCUCUACCGCACCGAGUAUGGUCAAAUCGGGCAACCUAGGCGCUGAACCGCGUAAAUCCGCGUUGACCGCGUAAUAGCCGCGAUUGCCGCGUAAUAUCCGCGUAAUAUCAAAACACAUACAUUUUAUUAUGGCUUGUUACUAAAAGAUUUUGUGUAAUGUCCAUUAUAUUAAAACCCAAAAAAUAGUUAAAGCCCAAAACAAACAAAUAAAAACUACAUUUGGGGAUUUUUUAUCGAGCAAUCCCUAAUCUAAAAUUCUAAAUUAUUGAGAAAGCAAAGGAGAUUGAGAGUGGAGAUGUCAAGCUUAGAUUGAGAGUAAGUGACAAACUGAAACUGAAUCGAGUUACCAAAUAAAUUAAGGUAAUAUCCUUGUUCGAGUGUUAGCAAAUUAAGUUACGAAGCUAUGAAUUUUUUUUUCGUUCACUGGUGUUUGUUUGACAACUAGUUCUCUAUUUUGACUUUUGAUUAAUUGUACUUGUCUGUUUUGCUUCUUCUUUUGUUCUUUUGUGUUUGUUGUCGUGAGAAACAAAGAAGACGCUUACGUUUUGUACUUCGUCACAUACGUGCUUAUACUUCAUACAUAAUUUUUUUUUAAGGUUAAAAAGAUGGACAAUCCACCAACAGAUGCACCUCGUCCUCUGAAGCGAAAUUCAAAUGAUGUGGGAUGGGAAUUUGGAGUCUUAUGUAAUCCAAAAAAUGUAGACAAGGUCAAAUGCAAGUUGUGUGGAAAAGAAUUCUCUGGUGGUAUUUAUAGAAUGAAAGAACACAUUGCUCAUGUGAAAGGGAAUGUCUCAGCCUGUCCUGUAUCAUCUAAAGCGGAUCAAGAGAAGUGUAAGCAGGCAAUUCUUGAUGCAAAAGAGAAAAAGGGUUUGAAGAGGAAACAUGAACAAGAACUGAGGGCAGAAGUGAACAUAAACAAAGGCAGAAAUGUUGAAGAAUUGGAAAGAGAGUUGGGAACUCUUAAAAGUCCUCACUUCCAAGGUCCCAUCGAUCAGUAUGCAACCUCCAUAAACCCUGAAGCUUCUUUGGCUGCACAAGCACGACAGCAAAAUAUACAUGACGCCAUAUCUAAGGAGAAGACACAUGCUGUCCGUCAAUACUGUGCUAGAUGGAUGUAUGAGGCAAAUGUUGCUUUCAACGCCAUUGACAAUGAAAGUUUCAGGUUGUUUUGUGAAGCUUUGGGACAGUUUGGACCUGGUUGGGUUCCUCCAAGUCAGUAUCAGCUCAGAGGACCAUUGUUAUUUGAGGAACAAAAAAGGACCAAGGAAAAGUUGAAGAAUCUAGAAGAAGAAUGGGAAACAGAAGGCUGCUCAGUGAUGACCGAUGCAUGGAGUGAUAUGAAAAGAAGAAGCAUAAUGAAUUUGUGUGUCAACUCAAGGGGAGGUACAUGUUUUCUUUCAUCAAAAGACACCUCUAAAGAUUCUCACACGGGGGAGUACAUCUUCAAUUAUAUUGACCAGUGGAUUGAAGAUAUAGGAGCUGCAAAGGUAGUGCAAGUGGUCACUGAUAAUGCUACAAACAACGUGGCAGCUGCAAAGAUGCUGAAACAAAAGAGACCAAAUAUAUUUUGGACAGGUUGUGCUGCACACACUAUAGAUCUGAUGCUCGAGGGAAUUUCUAAGCUUCCGGGAAUUGCAAAGAUAAUUGACCAAGCAAAGGCUGUUACGAUCUUUAUAUAUGCUCAUCAUACAACACUGUCCAUGAUGAGAACAUGUACAAAUAACAGAGAUAUCGUAAGACCAGGAGCAACAAGGUUUGCAACUUGUUUUUUGACUAUGCAAAGCCUAUACGACAAGAAGGCACAACUGAUGAGCAUGUUCGGCAGUGAUGAGUGGCAUAGUUGUAAGCAUUCUAAGUGUCUGAAGGGUAAGAAUACAUUUGACACGAUUAUGAGUCAUGGGUUUUGGAGUAGUGUGAAUGUUGUCUUGAAGAUCUUCAGCCCUCUGGUGAAGGUUCUAAGGCUGGCUGAUGGGGAGAAAGUACCUUCUCUUGGAUUCAUUUAUGGUGAGAUUAUCGAAGCUAAGAAUUCUAUCAAAGAAGCUUCAAAUCAUUUGGAGAAGAACUACCAACUUAUCUUUCGAAUCAUUGAUGAGAAAAUGAAAGAUAGGUUAGAUACUCCUUUGCAUGUGGCUGCCUACUUUCUCAAUCCAUAUUAUUUCUACAAAGAUCCAGAAAUUCAAAAAGACUAUGAAGUCAUGGAAGGAUUCAUAUCUUGUGUAGAGACUUAUUAUCAUGGCGACUUUGAGAAGCAAAAUAGGGUUGUCAAUCAGGAGCUUAGUCUUUACAAGAGCAAAAGUGGCUCAUUUGGUAGAACUUUAGCACUCAAAGGAUGCGAGAUUAAAGAUGACAAGUUUGAUCCAGGUUUGUAUGUUCAGAUUGCUUGUCUUUCAUUAACUUUUGAUCUUUAUUCAUCAAUACGAGUGAUAUGAUGAUUUUAGGGAACUGGUGGUCAACAUAUGGAUGUGGUACACCAACUCUUCAAAAAAUGGCUACAAGGAUCCUUGCUUUGACGUCAAGCUCUUCAGGAUGUGAAAGAAAUUGGAGUUGCUUUGAAGGGGUUAGUUUAUUAGUUCUCUUUCUCUAGGAAUCUCACUAUUUCUGAAAUUCACAACUUUUUUUAAUUGCAGAUUCACACAAAAAAGAGAAAUAUGCUAGAUGCCAAUCGCUUAAAUAGCUUAGUCUAUGUGCAAUUCAAUGCAAAGCUGUUUAAGAAGCAGAAAAAAAUCAGAGAGCAAAAUGCUGAUGUGAUAUUCGAUGAUGGUAAUGAAGAUACAGUGGAAGAAUGGCUUUUGGGCCGUGUACCAGACAUAGACAAUGAUCUUAAUUUGCUACUUGUAACCCAAGCUCCAAGGGUAAGAGAUUUAUAUGAUGAUGACUUUGAGUCUGAAGAAGAUGAGGAAUAUGCUGUGGACAUGGAUUUUGAACCAGAUGUAUAUCAAAAUGCUCCUCUCUCUCGUGAUUCAUAAUCUGCUAAGUAAGGUUAGUAAUUUUAUCUUAGUAAGGUUAGUAUGUUAAGUUACAGGUCUUAUAGAUCUUAUAGAUCUUCGUUGUUUUAUAUCUUUUUAUUUGUAGGUGUAUGUCUUUUGUUGCAGGUGUAUGCUAAGUAGUCUAACUCCUAACACAUCUACCCAAUUCAUGGUGAUUAUUUGAUCUGAGGACAAAAGGAUGAAGACUUCGAUCCUUUUUUGUAUUUUGUAUGUUCUCAAGAUCAAGACAAUCUAUUUUGUGUAUCUCAUGAAUUGGAAGUUUUUGUACUUUUUGAAUUUGAUGUGUAAAGGAGAAAACAAUGUUUAUCUAUAAAUUAUAUAACAAGUUAUAUAAUUAUGUCUAAAAUUUUGUAUUAUCAUAUUUAAAAUUAGCUAAAUAUAUUAUAAAUAUAUUAAAUUGUAUUUAAAACUAGGUCCCGCGUAUAUCCCGCUUAAUCUCCGAUUUUUUGGUAACUCGCUAGGUCCGGAACUGCCGCCCGACUAGCGCCUGGCGUAAUUCCGAACAGGGGUGAAAAGGAUGGUUGGUAGAAUAUUUUAAAAACAUUUGGGCCUACAAUGGACUGAAACAGCAUAGAGAACUGGAAUACGAGAAUACUAGAAAGUCGAACAAGGCCGAUUAAAAGAGACCGAAUAAGGUCAAAUACGUAAACUAAAGACUUUGAUUUGAGUUGACCUGGUUAGGCCAAAAAUCAUAGUGUGGUGGUGGUAUUAAAGAAUGUUUAUCCAGAAGAAAAACACUUGACCAUCGAAAAAAUGAUGUCGACAGAAAGCAGAAGAAGAACAAAUUAAACAUAUCUUUGUCGAAGCAAGCGCGUUUGCGUUUGCGUCUCUGUCUCAUCCAUUAAUAUCUCUCUGUUCUUUCGCUCAAAGCUUCUCUGUUCCCGCACGUCUCUGUUUCUUCUCUCUUAUCUCUCUCUAACCAACAAAACGGAACAACAAAACCAGCAUUAGAAGAAACAUAUCAUCACUAUACGGAGUUUACAGGCGGACGAUCGUUCACCAGUCUACUUUGUUCGGCUUGAUAAACCGAGAGCUGUAGACGAUCUCUACAUAGGCAAGAGAGAAAAGAUGCGUAGGUGGUUGUGCUGCGCUUGCCACGUCGAAGAGCCUUACCAUGCUUCUGAAAACGAGCACCUGAGAAGCCCUAAGCACCAUAUUGAUUACGGUAAC